rnacentral:rRNA from 1 species
CAGUAGCCGCGGGAAUACGUAGGUCCCGAGCGUUGUCCGGAUUUAUUGGGCGUAAAGCGAGCGCAGGCGGUUAGAUAAGUCUGAAGUUAAAGGCUGUGGCUUAACCAUAGUACGCUUUGGAAACUGUUUAACUUGAGUGCAAGAGGGGAGAGUGGAAUUCCAUGUGUAGCGGUGAAAUGCGUAGAUAUAUGGAGGAACACCGGUGGCGAAAGCGGCUCUCUGGCUUGUAACUGACGCUGAGGCUCGAAAGCGUGGGGAGCGAACAGGAUUAGAUACCCGAGUAGUCCCUGUCUCUUAUACA